GAUGAACGCUAGCUACAGGCUUAACACAUGCAAGUCGAGGGGAAACGACAUCGAAAGCUUGCUUUUGAUGGGCGUCGACCGGCGCACGGGUGAGUAACGCGUAUCCAACCUGCCCACCACUUGGGGAUAACUUUGCGAACGUAAGACUAGUACCCAAUGACGUCUCUAGAAGACAUCUGAAAGAGAUUAAAGAUUUAUCGGUGAUGGAUGGGGAUGCGUCUGAUUAGCUUGUUGGCGGGGUAACGGCCCACCAAGGCGACGAUCAGUAGGGGUUCUGAGAGGAAGGUCCCCCACAUUGGAACUGAGACACGGUCCAAACUCCUACGGGAGGCAGCAGUGAGGAAUAUUGGUCAAUGGACGAGAGUCUGAACCAGCCAAGUAGCGUGCAGGAUGACGGCCCUAUGGGUUGUAAACUGCUUUUAUAAGGGAAUAAAGUGAGAGUCGUGACUCUUUUUGCAUGUACCUUAUGAAUAAGGACCGGCUAAUUCCGUGCCAGCCGCCGCCGUAA
rnacentral:rRNA from 1 species